CCUACGGGCGGCUGCAGUGGGGAAUAUUGGACAAUGGGGGCAACCCUGAUCCAGCCAUGCCGCGUGUGUGAAGAAGGCCCUCGGGUUGUAAAGCACUUUCAGUGAGGAAGAACGCCUGGUGGUUAAUACCCAUCAGGAAAGACAUCACUCACAGAAGAAGCACCGGCUAACUCCGUGCCAGCAGCCGCGGUAAUACGGAGGGUGCGAGCGUUAAUCGGAAUUACUGGGCGUAAAGCGCGCGUAGGUGGCUUGAUAAGCCGGUUGUGAAAGCCCCGGGCUCAACCUGGGAACGGCAUCCGGAACUGUCAAGCUAGAGUGCAGGAGAGGAAGGUAGAAUUCCCGGUGUAGCGGUGAAAUGCGUAGAGAUCGGGAGGAAUACCAGUGGCGAAGGCGGCCUUCUGGACUGACACUGACACUGAGGUGCGAAAGCGUGGGUAGCAAACAGGAUUAGAUACCCUUGUAGUC
rnacentral:rRNA from 1 species